CUUGCUAUAUUAUCUCAUGAGAAGAGUGCUCUAAAAAAAGGGGGAUACGAGGAAAUAAAAAGGGGCAAGUGCCCAGACCCUCGAAAGAAAAGAAAAAGUGAGACGAGAGGUAAAAAUGGACAAGUGUCCGACAGUAGAAUUAGGGGUACAAAAUACCCACCUGAGAGGAAAGAAAAAGAAAAUAUAGAGCAUCUCAUUCUCCUCAAAAACAAAGUUUCAAAAAGCAAGGAAGGUAUGUAUCCCCUC
rnacentral:lncRNA from 1 species